GUAGCGGCGGGGCCGGCGGCAGGUGUGCGCGGCGGAGGAGGAGCAGGAGCAGGAGCAGAAGCAGACGGCAGCCGCCCUCCCGUCACGCAGCACCGCACCAAGCCCUGCUCUCCUGGCCGCUGCCGCAGCAGCGCUCGGCAGCUCCCGCCGGGUCCGCCCGAGAGUGAAAGUACCGGGGGUCACUUUCCUGAUAAACAAUAACUGCGCUACAAUGAAACGAGGGUCGCUCGAGAUGGCAUGUGCUUAAGGAGUGAACGGCGAGGACUGAAGAACAAAUUUCUCUUACCCGAAUAAUAUGUAGAAGAGUAGAGCCGUAGCCAGCCCCUGCUGUGGUUCCCACGUGUAAUUUAAGGUCAAUCUAGGAUGAAGAGACUGACCAAAUCUAGAAAAUGGGUAUUUAAAAUGAAGUCACUUGAGAACAUGCAUCUACUACAGUAUUUGGGCAACAUCUUUAGGCUGACCAUCCUCUCUCUGGGAUUUUGUUGAUGUGUUGACAGGGUAAAGAAAGGAUGAAGAAGGAUGUGAAUAAUAAAAACUUAACAGCUGUAACUGGAGGGAAGGAAUGCCAUCCAGAGGGACCUUGACACACCUGUGAGGUGGGCUGAUGCCAACCUCAUGAAGUUUAACCAUGACAAGUGCAAGGUCCUACACCUGGGUCAGAGCAAUC